GGACCGGUUAAUUCACUCGGUUAGAGCAUGGUUCUGAUAACACCAAGGUCGUGGGUUCGAUCCCCAUUCGAUCCC
rnacentral:tRNA from 1 species